CCCCCCCCCCCCCCCCCCCCCCCCCCCCCCCCCCCCCCCCCCCCCCCCCCCCCCCCCCCCCCCCCCCCCCCCCCCCCCCCCCCCCCCCCCUUUUUUUUUUUUUUUUUUUUUUUUUUCACUGAGGCUGCAGCACCACACUUACAUGUCCGGCAUCCGAAGUUCCUGCUCUGGGAUCUUUGGGCGACACCAGACCCCAUGUUAUCUAAGGAACUGCUGAGCUCAUUCAUCUCCUUUUCACGGCCCGCUUCCUUUUAUUUUUAGCCAAAUCCGUCAGGCCUGACAGGCGGGUAAUUUGAGCCAGAGAAAGGGCAAAGCUCCAGGUCCUUUCCACAAAGCAAUUCUUCUCCUCCCUCCUGGGAAGGCUCCAAACUUGGCCUGCUCCAGGCAGAUGGAUUUGUUGAGUCAUGUGAGAUCAUUUACACAAAAACACAGCGAGGCAGUGAAAAGGAAAAAAAAAAAAAAAAAGAGGGAAAGAAAAAAGAGAAAAAGGUGGGGGGGAAGGGGUGGGAGAGCGUGCACUGCCGGGGCUGCUGUGAGCGUAGGAAAUGUGCUGCGAGGCAGCUAGACAGAGGAAUGCAGCAGAUUCAUUCUUGUAUAAGAACCCAGCUAGUGGUGAUUGAAGAAUUCUUCUCCUGGGAUGCACCUUUGGACACAAGCAUCAGUGAAGCCCUUUUUGCAGCCAGCGAUGUCGAAGGCAGCGGGACCGCAUGAGGAGGACGUCAUGGGUAGCCAGCGAUGUCGAAGGCAGCGGGACCGCAUGGGUAGGACGUCAUGGGUAGCACUGCACUGCACUGCUGAGGGUAUGGGUGGCACAGCCAGACCUGCUCAGAUGGCAUUUUGAGAGCGAGAGGUUAAAAGGACAAGGGUAAACCACGGUCUGAAACAGACUCUUGCAUGUGGCAGGUCUCUUCUUGGGUGGCACUCGUUUGGUUGCGCAGCUCAAGUGCAGCAGGAGUUUCACCCCUGCCCACAGGCUGACAAUCACACUCUCAAUGGGAAGUUACUUUCCUGCUGGGUUUUGCCCCCUGUGAGUGUUGUCAUUGGACGUAACAGAAAAUUAAGGGGCAGAGGUUUGCGGGGUAUCAUAAGCUGUUCACCAUUAAAAAUAAAUCUUCUGGGAUUAAUUCUCUAUGGGGCAAAGGGAGAGAGGGCUUUGUGCACUAAACACUGGAGAAUUUUUAGUAUUUCAUGCUAAUUUUAACCUGAAGCAUUAGUGAGUUAAGCACAGCUCCAAGUGCUGCAGCUAGCCUUCAGCAGGAAACACUGGAUAGCAUUGCUGAAGGAGUGGUGACAGCAGGGAGUUCCUGUAUACAUGCAGUGGCACUUCUAGAAGAACUGAAGGCAAGUAUUUCCAAACACAAGUGGAAAUGCACGUGAGUUGGUGACACAUAUUUUGGUUUUCAGUACAGUAGGUGGCAGGAGAGACAAAGUGACAGCUUGGCUGGGGUGGCUGCUGGUCCACGUGCCGCAGUGACAAAUGACGGUCUACGCUCAGUACUGUGGAAUAAACACGACAUUGUAUUGCCAGGUGCUUUUGUGAGGUCUGUCCUCUGGUGUGAUCAACACAAUGCCAUAACAA
ensembl:lncRNA